AGUGAACGCUGGCGGUAGGCCUAACACAUGCAAGUCGAACGGCAGCACAGUAAGAGCUUGCUCUUACGGUUGGCGAGUGGCGGACGGGUGAGGAAUACAUCGGAAUCUACUUUUUCGUGGGGGGUAACGUAGGGAAACUUACGCUAAUACCGCAUACGACCUACGGGUGAAAGCAGGGGAUCUUCGGACCUUGCGCGAUUGAAUGAGCCGAUGUCGGAUUAGCUAGUUGGCGGGGUACAGGCCCACCAAGGCGACGAUCCGUAGCUGGUCUGAGAGGCUGAUCAGCGACACUGGGACUGAGACACCGUCCAGACUCCGACGGGAGCAAGCAGUGGGGAAUAUUGGACAAUGGGCGCAAGCCUGAUCCAGCCAUACCGCGUGGGUGAAGAAGGCCUUCGGGUUGUAAAGCCCUUUUGUUGGGAAAGAAAAGCAGCAGGUUAAUACCCCGCUGUUCUGACGGUACCCAAAGAAUAAGCACCGGCUAACUUCGUG
rnacentral:rRNA from 1 species